rnacentral:rRNA from 1 species
UACGUAGGGUGCGAGCGUUGUCCGGAAUUACUGGGCGUAAAGAGCUCGUAGGUGGUUUGUCGCGUUGUUCGUGAAAACUCACAGCUCAACUGUGGGCGUGCGGGCGAUACGGGCAGACUGGAGUACUGCAGGGGAGACUGGAAUUCCUGGUGUAGCGGUGGAAUGCGCAGAUAUCAGGAGGAACACCGGUGGCGAAGGCGGGUCUCUGGGCAGCAACUGACGCUGAGGAGCGAAAGCGUGGGGAGCGAACAGG